GAUCGCUUGGCGCAAUGGUAGCGCGUAGACCUCCUAGAUAAAAAAAGUCCCACCGAAAAGACCUCGGUUAAUCAAUCGCUCAGGUUCGGAACUUUUGGAGAUGCAAGUCUAAGGUUGCGGGUUCGAGUCCCGUGGUGAUCG